GUGGGCGUGCCGGAUUGGUUAUCGGGCAUGACUAGAAAUCAUGUGGGCUUUGCCGACGCAGGUUCAAAUCCUGAUGCUCACG
rfam:Ipomoea nil DNA, scaffold: scaffold2283, cultivar: Tokyo-kokei standard.